CCUACGGGAGGCAGCAGUGGGGAAUAUUGGUCAAUGGGCGCAAGCCUUACCCAGCAACGCCGCGUGAAGGAAGAAGGCUUUCGGGUUGUAAACUUCUUUUCUCAGGGACGAAGAAAGUGACGGUACCUGAGGAAUAAGCCACGCCUAACUACGUGCCAGCAGCCGCGGUAAUCCGUAGGUGGCAAGCGUUAUCCGGAUUUACUGGGUUUAAAGGGCGUGUAGGCGGGACUGCAAGUCAGAUGUGAAAACCACGGGUGCAACCUGUGGCCUGCAUUUGAAACUGUAGUUCUUGAGUACUGGAGAGGCAGACGGAAUUCCUAGUGUAGCGGUGAAAUGCGGAGAUAUUAGGAGGAACACCAGUGGCGAAGGCGGUCUGCUGGACAGCAACUGACGCUGAGGCGCGAAAGCGUGGGGAGCAAACAGGAUUAGAUACCCCUGUAGUC
rnacentral:rRNA from 1 species